rnacentral:piRNA from 1 species
UGGGAGGCCAAGAUACCCAGAAGCCCUUUU